rnacentral:rRNA from 1 species
ACGAACGCUGGCGGCACGCUUAACACAUGCAAGUCGAACGAGAGAAGAGAAGCUUGCUUUUCUGAUCUAGUGGCGGACGGGUGAGUAACACGUGAGCAAUCUGCCUUUCAGAGGGGGAUACCGAUUGGAAACGAUCGUUAAUACCGCAUAAUAUAAUUGAACCGCAUGAUUUGAUUAUCAAAGAUUUAUCGCUGAAAGAUGAGCUCGCGUCUGAUUAGCUAGUUGGUAAGGUAACGGCUUACCAAGGCGACGAUCAGUAGCCGGACUGAGAGGUUGAUCGGCCACAUUGGGACUGAGACACGGCCCAGACUCCUACGGGAGGCAGCAGUGGGGAAUAUUGCACAAUGGAGGAAACUCUGAUGCAGCGAUGCCGCGUGAGGGAAGAAGGUUUUAGGAUUGUAAACCUCUGUCUUCAGGGACGAAAAAUGACGGUACCUGAGGAGGAAGCUCCGGCUAACUACGUGCCAGCAGCCGCGGUAAUACGUAGGGAGCGAGCGUUGUCCGGAAUUACUGGGUGUAAAGGGAGCGUAGGCGGGAUCGCAAGUCAGAUGUGAAAACUAUGGGCUUAACCCAUAAACUGCAUUUGAAACUGUGGUUCUUGAGUGAAGUAGAGGUAAGCGGAAUUCCUAGUGUAGCGGUGAAAUGCGUAGAUAUUAGGAGGAACAUCAGUGGCGAAGGCGGCUUACUGGGCUUUAACUGACGCUGAGGCUCGAAAGCGUGGGGAGCAAACAGGAUUAGAUACCCUGGUAGUCCACGCCGUAAACGAUGAUUACUAGGUGUGGGGGGACUGACCCCUUCCGUGCCGCAGCAAACGCAAUAAGUAAUCCACCUGGGGAGUACGACCGCAAGGUUGAAACUCAAAGGAAUUGACGGGGGCCCGCACAAGCAGUGGAGUAUGUGGAUUAAUUCGAAGCAACGCGAAGAACCUUACCAGGUCUUGACAUCGUAUGCAUAGCUCAGAGAUGAGUGAAAUCUCUUCGGAGACAUAUAGACAGGUGGUGCAUGGUUGUCGUCAGCUCGUGUCGUGAGAUGUUGGGUUAAGUCCCGCAACGAGCGCAACCCUUACUGUUAGUUGCUACGCAAGAGCACUCUAGCAGGACUGCCGUUGACAAAACGGAGGAAGGUGGGGAUGACGUCAAAUCAUCAUGCCCCUUAUGACCUGGGCCUCACACGUACUACAAUGGCUGUCAACAGAGGGAAGCAAAGCCGCGAGGUGGAGCAAACCCCUAAAAGCAGUCUUAGUUCGGAUUGUAGGCUGCAACCCGCCUACAUGAAGUCGGAAUUGCUAGUAAUCGCAGAUCAGCAUGCUGCGGUGAAUACGUUCCCGGGCCUUGUACACACCGCCCGUCACGCCAUGGGAGUCGGUAACACCCGAAGCCUGUAGUCUAACCGCAAGGAGGACGCAGUCGAAGGUGGGAUUGAUGACUGGGGUG